rnacentral:SRP_RNA from 1 species
CCAUGCUAGGUGGGGGUUAGCGGUCCCCGUUAUCCUCAGACCGCUAUAGAGGAGCCAAUAAGCCUGCUGAGGAAUUGGAUACUUGGGACAGCCUUGGGUAAGUGGUGUUGACGGCUGAGUCCUCUGCGGCACAAGUCUACAAACCCCGUCAGGCCCGGAAGGGAGCAGCGGUAAGUAGACCUCUGUGGGUGUCAGGGGGUAGCUUGGCCCGAGCAAACUGCUCAAGUAACGCCAGGUAACCAAUUUCGAUGCAGGCUGCAUGG